AUGCCUACAGGCCACUGUGGAUCCUACAGGCCACUGUGGAUCCUACAGGCCACUGUGGAUGCUACCGGCCACUGUGGAUCCUACAGGCCACUGUGGAUCCUACAGGCCACUCCUACAGGCCACUGUGGAUGCUACCGGCCACUGUGGAACAGAGAAGAUGUUUUCCUGCAGUGGUGUCGAGGCACUUUCAGUCACUGUGAGUUUCUGACUGCAGUGGAUUUUGGAUUUCUAAAGUUCAAAGGAAGGCUUAGUGCCUCACAGAGGAUUAUAGAUUUACUCCCCAACACACUGAGACAGAGGAAAUAA
rnacentral:lncRNA from 1 species